UUGAACCCACCACCUCCAGCAUAUAGGGCUGGCGCCCUACCCUUUUGAGCCACAGGCGCCACCCUCAGAACUAUUUGAUGCUGCAGGAACAGUAGAAAUGUCCAGGGAUGUGUUUCAAAUCAAGAAUGGAACCUCUGCUUGUUGUCAACAGUUUUUCAGAUAAACUACUUCAACUUCGAUGACACUUUUGCACACUGAAAGCCCACUUGCCUGCAGAGCAGCAGUUGGACCUCACAGUGUGGAUUGUGCCUUCACUGGGAAGGUUCUGUGACACCCAUCACCGUGGUGACAUGAGAGUAUAUAUCUUGGCCCCUCCUGCUGCCACUUGCCAUUCAACAUGGGAAACCUGAAAAGCCGAUUCAAAGCAAAGCAAUGUUUCUCCCGCUCCUGCUGCCCUUCAGUCGUCCCACGUCUCCCACCCAUCCCUCUCUAUCCCCAGCCUGUUCCCCUGACCCCACU